UACAACAUCUUAUUUUUUGGAUUUUAUGAAUCUCAUGGAUUGUUGAUUUACGAUGACGAUCAUUUACUUACGGGAUUUUAAGAGUCUCACAGUCUACUGAUUUAAGAUCAUGAUUUUCUAUUUACGCUGUACAGCCCAAUUUCGCCCUGGGCCUAGGCAGGCCCAAUUACAAGGCCCAAAUGCCCAAACCUACCCAAUACCCAAACCCCAAACAGCAGACCCAAUAACCCAAAUUAAAAACAAGCCCAAAUAAAGAAAAACCUAGCCCAAACCCAAAAACAAAAAAAAAGAAAGAAACAAAGAAACCCUAGCCUCUAACCCUAGCCUCUGUCGCCGCCCUAGCCUCUACCGUGCUAGCAUUGCCUCUGACGCCGCGCCACCAACUCCCUCACCUACUCCAUCAAACGUCAAAUACCUGUAAGAAGGAAGAACACGCAAAAAAGACACAGUAACAAAAAUAGACAAUGUAACAGGGCUAUAAGAGCCGAACUUCAUUCUUGUAAAAGAAGGGUCUUUGAAAAAAAAAGGGAAAAACCGAUUCAAAAAAAAAGACAAAGAUUCAAGAAGAAAUAAAAGUAACAUUUUUAUCUUAUUUCGUUUUUCAUUAAUCUUUUUUUUAAUUUUUAAUUUUUAUUUUUUUCUGUUUGUUCUAAGAUAUAUAUAUAUUAUAUACGCAUAUGUAGUAGAAAAAUAAAAAAUAAAAAAUAUACCUUUUUUUAAUUUUUCGGCCACCGUGUAAGGUGGCCGGUGUGACGGCACCGACGGCGGAGCCUCACCAGACCCAGGGCCGGAGUUCAGAAAGGGGAGAGGAGACUAGCGGGAUUUUUUUGUUGUUUUUUUGGAAGAAAGGCUGAAAAUGAGGUUUUAAAAAAGAAAUUUGGCUUUUAUAAUACUAUUAAAACGACGUCGUUUUGCUAUUAAGGGUCAGGUGCCAAAACGACGCCGUUUUGGCCUUGACCCGCGCGGUGACCCGAUCCUGAGGGGAGGAUCCGCCUGUUUUCUUUAAAAGGGCUAUUUGCGCGCGCGGUCCCUCUACUUUUGCAGCGCGUUGCAAUUUGACCCUUUCCUUCUUUUCUUUAUUUUUAAUUUAGCCGUAUAGUUUUAUCGUUGUUUCAUUUUAGUCCCGCAUAAAGUGAUGCGCUGGGAAGGAUGGGAUAUUUCCUUUUUUGGUCCCCUUUCUUUCACGCGCAUCCCAAAUUAAUCUUUUGCUUUAUUUUAUUCUGAUUUCUCCCCUGGGACUUUGUUUUGUUUUCAAUCUAAUCCAUUUAUUAUUAUUAUUAUUAAGCUUAUUAUGAUUAUUAUUCUUGUUAUUGCAUUUAUUAUUAUUACUUUCAUUAUUAUUAUUAUUUACCCACUUAUACCAUUUUUAGAUUUUGUUAUAUAUAUUCAUACUAACUUAUAUAUAUAUACCUUUUUUAAUUUUUAUAUAUGUACGUACUUAUAUUUUUAUAUGCUUUAAUAUCUUUAUAUAUAUAUAUACUUACUUAUAUAUUAUUUGUACUUUAUACUUUAUAUAUGUAUACCCACAUAUUUUAAAUAUACAUACUUUUUUUAAGGCUUUAUAAUUUAUAUAUAUACAUAGAUAUGCAUAUUUUUUAUAUGUACAUACAUUCAUAUAUUUUAUAAUUUAUAAUUUAAGUACAUAGAUAUACAUACAUAAAUAUUGUAUUUUUUUGUAAUUCAUAUUGUUAUCGAUUGUUUUAUUUGAUAUUUAUUUAUUUGCUUAUCAUUAUUUUUAUGAAAUGUUUUAGUUCUUUUUAUUUACUCAUUGUUUCAUGUAUAAUUGUUUUUUAUGUGUCCUUUUUAUUGUUGCUCGUAUUAUUUUACUUACAUUAUCAUAAUUGUCAUUCCAUUAUGUCAAUUUUUACCCAGAUUUUAAAAAAAAAUUAAAUAAAAGUAAUACUCGGUAUUUGGGAUCUUCGAGAGAAUCGAGCCCUAAUGUAUUGGGUUCCGAUUUUCUUUGUUGAAUCUAAAUAAUCGAGACUACUAUUUUUUAUAAUAAAAAAACAUAAAUAAAAGCUCAUUAUCGAGAAUUCAAUACGUUGUGUCCUAACGCAUUGGAUAUGAUACAUUGUCUUCUCGAGAUGAGGAUUUUUCUAAAAAAAUAACAAAGGUAAUAUUUUGCUUUUGGAAAUUCGAGAAAACAUGCCCUAAUGUGCUGGGUUUCGAUUUUUUCGUUUGACCAAAUAGCCAAAUAUCCUUUUAAAAUUUCAAAAUAAGGAAAUGUUUUGCGUUUGGGAAAUUCGAGAAAACGUGCCCUAAUGUGCUGGGUUUCGAUUUCUCAUUUGACCAAAUAGUCAAAUAUUCUCUUAAAUCUUAAUCCAUGUUAUUCAAGUUUUUUUAGGAUCGUAUUUUAAAUCUCUUUAAAGUUUUCAGUUUUUCGACGCUAAGACAUUAAGUAAUCAACUAGGUACCAAUUUUGGGCGUAUCGAGGGUGCUAAUCCUUCCUCAUGCGUAACCGACUCUCGAACCCGUUUUUCUGAAUUUCGUAGACCAAACUUGUUGUUUUAAUAAAAUCAAAUUGUUUAUUAAAAACAACCACUUUUCGAGCUGAUCCGAUCACACCUCAUCAAAAAGGAUUGGUGGCGACUCCCGUUUCCGUUUUAAUUUUCCAAAACCCAAGUCGACCCUGUUUUCAUCAAAAAAUGGUGUCAACAGCUUGGCGACUCUACUGGGGACAUGAGAUUAAGAGAGUCAAGCCACGAGUUGAUUAUUUUUGUCUUCUUGUCGAAAAUUGAAAACUUGGUUUAAAUGUACGAUCCUUUCAUUGCAUUUCAUCAGUUUUUAGUACAAUUUUCAUCGUUGUGGUUUAUGAUUGUUAUGUUAGUUUAAGUUUCGGUAUCUUUUUGCAUUGCAUUGCAUGACCGUUGGUCACACCCUUUUAGGUGGGAGUGAGAAGCUACUCCUUCGUGAGGUUUUCACCUCCGUGUAGGAUAGUGGAUCGCUUCCGGGAUACAUUCGUACCUAUGUCUUCGUGAGAUUUUCAUCUCUGUGCAGCCAUAGGGAAAUGUAUUCCCCUGAACCGAACUCGGUCUAUAUGAGCUUAUAAUGGGUGAAGAUCGAGGAAUCUACUGGUUGUGGUACCCUUACUUUAGAGCCAAACCUCAUGUAGUAGACCUUAGGAGCCCACCCUAGGUAGAACCACUUCGAACCCUAGUAUUCACCCGGAUAGGUGUUCUAUUUAUUCUUGCUUGCUUUUGCUUUGUACUAAUCUGUUUUCUUUUUUUUUGUUAUGACUGCAUUGCAUUUUCAUCAUAAGGAGGUGUUGAUUCACGUUCGAUUGUUAAAUAGAGAGCUUGUCAUAAGGAAAUGAGUUUCUUGAUAAAGUGGAUAAUAAUACGGUUGUCCGAAUAUGGUCCAAAAAAUGUGAUAAGAGAAGGAUGAUAGUUCAAUGGAGGACCACACGACCAUUGCUCCGUUGCCCCAGAAUUCAAGAUAACAAAGAUUAUUCGAGAACUGCUGAACUUUCUUAAAGAGGAGCCAACAAGCAUCACGAGGAUGAGUGAUUAAAGACUCGCGGCCCGGAUCAAGGAAAAGGGAGAUAAAAGAGACAUCCCUUUUGAAGAGUUCGUGAGAUUUAUCUUAACGCGCGAAUGAAAAAAAGGAUCAUUCUCUUGGAACAUAAGGGCAAAGUCGUAUAUAUAUCCGCUUUAUGUAAAGAGAUUUGUUUUCUAGUAAAGUUGUUCUAAUAGAAUUGAACCAAGAAUCAACGUCUCUUUUUGCAUUCAUUUCAUGCAUCUGCUUUACAUAUCAUUGCAUGCAUCAAAUUUCACUAAAAUACCCUAAUGAAACGAAAUCAUUUCAGAGUCAAUAGAAACCAACCUACCAAACCAACACCCUUGCGCUACCCAAACAGGAACUAGAGAAAUGGAACAAAGGUUGGAAAAAUUAGAGCGAAUGCAAAUACAGAUACAUGAGCAAUUGACUAAAUUUCAACAGGAGAUGAGAGAUCAGAUGCUAGAAUUACAGAGAACCAUGAUGAGCCAGUUCAACCGAUUGCUAGCUGGAGAAAAAAGGAAGGACCCGAUGGACCACUCUGGGUUGAUAAUGAGGAUUUUGCUUAUUUCCUAGAUUGUACUUCGACAAGUGCCCAGGUCCAGCCAGAUGGGCGCCUACAAGGGGCACUCUUCACUAUCAGAUCUCAACAAUAUCAGACUGGUAUAGCAACACCAGUGUGUUGCCUAACGAACCCAAGAUCCAAUUUGAGGAACAAUUUUCCUGUUGCUAUUGAUAACCUAACUGAAACAAAGCAGGUGAGGGUGGAGUACCUAGAUACUACAAAGGCCCCAAGGAAGAAGGGAAAUAAAUGGGAUAAUGCUGGCAAGUAUAACAGGGGCCACUUAAAGCCAAUCACUAUGAGCAGGCCAAAGACAGAAACCACCAGACAUCGGAGUCCUUUAGAGCAAAAAUCUUAUACAAAGACAAAUACAGAAAGGCUGCAGUUCACACUUAUACCGAUGUCAUAUAGUGAGUUAUACCGAAGCUUAUUUGAUGCACGUGUGGUGUCCCCCUUCUACUUAAAACCUAUACAACUUCCGUAUCCUAAAUGGUAUGGCAUAAACGCACAAUGCGACUAUCAUGCGGGAAUUACGGGGCAUUCAAUAGAGAAUUGCACUGCCUUCAAGAAAUUGGUUGAAAAACUCAUUAACAUGGGUGUUGUCAGAUUUGAUGACUCGUCUAGUGCAAAAAAUCCACUACCCAAUGGGGUAGAUGUGAGGGAGGGAAGGGUAUUAGUUAUUUCUGAUUCAGGAGGAGGCCAUGGAAAGACAAGGAACCAUUGUGAGUUCCAUCACGAGAAGGGGUAUGAGACCCAAGAGAGUGUGAAAUUCAAGGCCUUGGCUCCGGGCACGAUGGACGACAAGGAGAUGAAGCUGUGUGAGGAAAUUAAAGAGGAGAAAAACAUAUACACAAUGUUGGCAAGUGUUCACACCAAUGACAUAUGUGAAGACACAAAUGAAAAGGGACAUUGUUAGAUAUUCGCCCUUAUGAAUCUAGAGUGUUCUAAGCAAUUAAACUGCAGAAGAAACCCCUGUAGUUUUUAGAGCUUAUUUAGAGUAAUGUUCAGAACAUUUUUGUUGUUUUUAGCCUAAAAAUGAUUGAAAUUCCUUUGUGAAAUAGGCUCAUGUCUGAACGUUAUUAUUCUAAUGACAUACAUCUUUACGAUCACUUUUGAGCCAAUGUUCUUUCAUUCUUUUUAAAUAACUAUUUCUGAUUAUUCUUUUAGAUUUUCUUCCACAUUAUUCAUUCAUUCAUAAUCAUAUUGUAUAAAUAAUUAUUCAUAAAUUUAUACAUUCUUUUAUAUAUUCUUUGGUACUUAUUAUGAGUCCCCAGAUAUCAAUGACAUGAAUGACACUGCUACAGACCCAGAUUUUCCUCUUGAACGAGGCAUGUGUUUAGACGGAUCUCAUGACUUUGGAAAUGACAUAGAUCGUAGCUUAUCUCUAGACUUGGUAAGGAGGGUAGAACAAGAGGAUAGACAGAUCCUAUCUCACAAGGAAUCAUUAGAAAUUGUGAGCUUGGAGAAUAUUAGAAUUGACUUGACCGCAAAGACGAAGCAAGACCUUGUUGAGUUACCUCUAGAGUUCAAAGAUGUCUUUGUAUGAUCAUACCAGGAUAUGCCUGAAUUAAUAGCUGAUAAUGAAAUCUACACAGCAGCACGUUUUCAAAAAUUUGCAGUGAACGAUGCGAUUCUUCGUCAGGGCAAAUGCCUCUCUCGUUGACUCAGCAUAGCUUUGCCCAUUUGAAGUCGAGCUUCCAUCCCUUCAAGAUCAAAAGUUUUCUAUUGUAGUUUCACCCCAGAAGGCUCUAUGAAGGAAAUCUGAUCAAAGAAGAUCAUUCGAAAGGGAUAACAAGGACUUGCCUAACCCUAUGAGUUCAGAUUCCAUAAAAAAAAGCAAAAAAGAGGGAAAAGAAAAAAGAAAAAUCAAAGUCAAAAGCAAAAAAGAAAAUCAAUCAAAGUCAAAAAUAAGAGAAAAAGAAAAAAAAUAGAAAAAGAAAAGAAAAAGGAGAGGUCGAGGCAAAAAACCGCAAAUGGCGCUUUGACCAAAGGUGGAUUUGAGUUGAAAACCCGAAAAGGGCGACUUAAAUUUUGAGCGAAAUGGGGCAAGGACAUCACCAUUAUUGAAGACUUCUAAUGGGCAUUACUUCAUUUUUGAGAUCAUUAGUUACUUUAUCAAACGGGUAGAGGCUAUUUCAUGCGUCAAUGUCAUCAUAUGCCGGUAUAGAACUAUAGAGAAGAUGGUAUCAUGAAUGAUAGCACGAUAGCUGAGGUCUGUGAUCAAUUCAAAAUCAGACAUCACAAUUCAUUAAUGUAAUAAAUUGCAAACAAUGACUGAGACUUACGAGGGUAGGCAUGUGAGGUUACCAUCUGCCUUCCUCGUUUUUCGAACGGUUAUCAGGACUUUGACUGGGGCAACACUGUUUUCUCUGGUUUACAAGACGGAAGUAGUUCUACCUAUUGAAGUAGAAAUCCUUGUUCUCUGGUUUCAGUUGAGCAAAAUGAAUCUAAUCUGAUCAGAAGGAAAAAGACUAAAAGCUAUUUAGCGGAGUCAGAUGUGCCAAAGGCAAAUGAUACGAGCCAAUGACAAAUAGGGUCGUCCCAGAGAAUUCCACAAGAGGGCUAGAUGUUGAAAGAAGAUCCUUCCUCAACGAAAGGAUUCUAGAGGGAAAUGAAUGCCAAACCGGGAAUGUCCCUAUGAUGUAAAGAUGACCAUUUUUAGAGGAGUACUGAUCCUGAGUGAGAUUGCUAAUCCUAUAAAAUCGGAUCCAGUCAAGAAACACGUCGUUUAAAGAAGAAUAAAAGACCAAGGUGAAAACCCGCAAAGGGCAUCUUAGGCCAAAUGGGAUUAGAGUUGAAAACCCGAAAAGGGCGACUCAAAUAUUGAUCAGAAUGGGGCAUGAGGUGAUCAGAGCAAUUCAAAUUUUGAUCAGAUUGGGGCAUUUGGUGAUCUUGUUAUACCUGAAUCAACAAGAAAGGGUAGGCGACAUCUUGGGGCAUCGACAAAGCAAUGUAGAUCUCCUAAACACAUGUCAAACUCAGAAUGGUCUUCAGAAAGUUUGAACAGAGAAGUUCAAGCUGCGAUAUCUGGGGCACCCAAUUCUCAUAUUAUUUAUAUCGAAUUUGUUGUUCUUGGAAUACUUUAUUCUUUUCCAAGAUAUGCAUUCCCAAUCAAUUUCUUUAUUAUCCUUCUUUACAAUUCUGGAUAAUUUAUUCAUUUUGAGUUAUGCUCAGAACCAGCUUUAUUCUUAUCCAUUGUUAUGCCUUUUUUGCAAGCAUGUUGCAUUGGAAUAAUGAUUAAUGGACUAAUAAAACUUUCACAAAGGAAGUUUUGCAUAUUACUCUAAAAAGUUUCUAAAUAAUAUAGGAACCUGAAACAGGACAAUUGUUUAGAACACACCAAAUUUAAAAGUUGGAAAUUUGAGAAGGAAGAGUCUAAAUUUGGACUUUCUCUUUGGAUUUUGUUGUCAAGUGCAUUUAUUGAACAAAAUGACAAGAUGUCGUGUCAAUGACAAAGCUUAAAUAAACAAGCAAGUAAUGAUUAUCAGCCAAUAGGAAGAGGUUACCUCGGAGAAAAGAUCCUUUAUUUGCACAUGAGUAUGACACCUUGGGAAUGGUGUAAGGAACUAGAACGAUUCAGGUCCUGUAUCCUUGAAUUGUGGUAGGAAAGGAUUGAGGAAAGGCCACAUAUUUCUACCCUUGGAUAACAGUGGGAGAAUGAUGGUACAAAUUUUGCGCCCCAAUGGAGUAAACUUUGAGGUUCACAGUGGGGGCAACCUGGCUAAACGUUUCUUCAGAAAAGCCAAUCAAGCAAGAAGGCGUCGCAGCAUGUUAGUCACAAAGCCUUAAUAAACUUUGAGUAAUGACAACCUAAGAGAGAUCAUUCUCGGAAAAAUAAAAUUUUGCAUUCAUGCAAACACCAUUGACACAUGUCUAGUUAGGAGCAUUUGAUUCAUUUUGAUCAUGCCAUCCUAAUCAUUAGGCAUAAUUAGGUUCAUUGUACAGGUCAUGUUCCACAGAGAACAGAUCAAUGAAGACAACAAAUCUUGCCUUCCUGCAUUGACAGCGAAGCAGAUCGAAGACACAAACCUUGUCUCUUUCGGUUGUAGCGGAGCUGGUUGAAGACAACAGAUCUUGCCUUCCUGCAUUGACAGCGAAGCAGAUCGAAGACACAAACCUUGCCUCUCUCGGUUGUAGCGGAGCUGGUUGAAGACAACAGAUCUUGCCUUCCUGCAUUGACAGCAAAACAGAUCGAAGACACAAACCUUACCUCUCUCGGUUGUAGCGGAGCUGGUUGAAGACAACAGAUCUUGCCUUCCUGCAUUGACAGCGAAGCAGAUCAAAGACACAAACCUUGCCUCUCUCGGUUGUAGUGGAGCUGGUUGAAGACAACAGAUCUUGCCUUCUUGAAUCGACAUCGAAACGAAUCGAAGACACAAAACUUGCCUCUCUCGGUUGUAGUGGAGCUGGUUGAUGACAACAGAUCUUGUCUUCCUGAAUCGACAGCGAAGCGGAUCGAAGACACAAGCCUUGCCUCCCUCGGUUGUAGUGAAGCUGGUUGAAGACAAUAGAUCUUGCCUUCCUGCAUUGACAGCGAAGUAGAUCGAAGACACAAACCUUGCCUGUCUCGGUUGUAGCGGAGUUGGUUGAAGACAACAGAUCUUGCCUUCCUGCAUUGACAACGAAGCAGAUCGAACCCACAAACCUUGCCUGUCUCGGUUGUAGCGGAGUUGGUUGAAGACAACAGAUCUUGCCUUCCUGCAUUGACAGCGAAGCAGAUCAAAGACACAAACCUUGCCUCUCUCGGUUGUAGCAGAGCUGGUUGAAGACAACAGAUCUUGUCUUCCUGCAUUGACAGCGAAGCAGAUCGAAGACAGAAACCUUACUUCUCUCAGUUGUAUCGGAGCUGGUUGAAGACAACAAAUCUUGCCUUCCUGCAUUGACAGCGAAGCAGAUCGAAGACACAAACCUUUCCUCUCUCGGUUGUAGCGGAGCUGGUUGAAGACAACAGAUCUUGCCUUCCUACAUUGACAGUGAAGCAGAUCGAAGACACAAACCUUACCUCUCUCGGUUGUAGCGGAGCUGAUUGAAGACAACAGAUCUUGCUUUCCUGCAUUGACAGCGAAGCAGAUCGAAGACACAAACCUUGCCUCUCUCGAUUGUAGCGGAGCUGGUUGAAGACAACAGAUCUUGCCUUCCUGCAUUGACAGCGAAGCAGAUCGAAGACACAAACCUUGUCUCUGUCGGUUGUAGCGGAGCUGGUUGAAGACAACAGAUCUUGCCUUCCUACAUUGAUAGCAAAGCAGAUCGAAAACACAAACCUUGCCUCUCUCGGUUGUAGCGGAGCUGGUUGAAGACAACAAAUCUUGCCUUCCUGUAUUGACAGCGAAGCAGAUCGAAGACAUAAACCUUGCCUCUCUCGGUUAUAGCGGAGCUGGUUGAAGACAACAGAUCUUGCCUUCCUGCAUUAACGGCGAAGCAGAUCGAAGUUACAAAUCCUAUCUCCCUGGUCAGUAGUGGAGUAGGUUGGAAAUUACAGAUCUUGUCUCCUUAAGUAGUAGCGGAGCAGAUCGAAGAUGGAAAAUCUUAUCUUCAAGAGUAAGGAAGCAGAUUUAAGCCACAAAUCCUAUCUCCCUGGUCAGCAGUGGAGUAGGUUAGAAAUUACAGAUCUUGUCUCCCUAAGCAGUAACGGAGCAGAUCGAAGACGGCAAAUCUUAUCUUUCAAGAGUAAUGAAGCAGAUUUAAGCCACAAGUCCUAUUUCCCUGGUCAGCAGUGGAAUAAGUUGGAAAUUACAGAUCUUGUCUCCCUAAGCAGUAGCAGAGCAGAUCAAUGACGACAAAUCUUAUCUUCAAGAGUAAGGAAGCAAAUUUAAGCCACAAAUCCUAUUUCCCUGAAGUUGCAGUAAAACAAGUUGAAGCUACAAGUCUUAUCUCACUGAGGUUGCAGUGUAGCAGACUGAAGAUAGUAAAUGUUUUCUCGAAGAGCCACAGAUCUUAUCUCUCUGAAGUUGCAGUAGAGUGGAUUACACCAUAACAAGUCUUAUCUCACUAAAGUUGCAGUAUAGCAGACUAAAGAUAGCAAAUGUUUCAUCGAAGAGCCACAGAUCUUAUCUUUCUGAAGUUGCCAUGGAGCAGACUGAAGCUACUAAUCCUAUCUCCCUGAAGUUGCAGUGGAGCGGAUUAAAAUGAUAAAUCCUAUACCUCUGAAGCUGCACUAGGUCAGAUUAAAUCUAUUAUAGCAGGUCUUAUCUCCCUGAUGUUGCAGUGGAAUAGACUAAAACCAUGAAUCUCGUCCCCCUGAAGUUGCUGUGAAGAAGAUUGAAGCUACAAGUCAGAUCUCUCUGAAGUGCAGUGGAGUGGAUCGAAGCAACACAAGCUCCAGUGGACUGGAAUGAAGCUACCUGAAGAAGAAAGGCACCAAGAAGUCAAGACUUGGCGAGACCGGGCAAAAUUAGGCUUUCUUAGUCUUUGUUCUGUUCUCGUUACACGACAACGAGCAAAGAGGGGCAGCUGUACAACCCAAUUUCGCCCUGGGCCUAGGCAGGCCCAAUUACAAGGCCCAAAUGCCCAAACCUACCCAAUACCCAAACCCCAAACAGCAAACCCAAUAGCCCAAAUUACAAACAAGCCCAAAUAAAGAAAAACCUAGCCCAAACCCAAAACCAAAAAAAAAGAAAGAAACAAAGAAACCAUAGCCUCUAACCUUAGCCUCUGCCGCCGCCCUAGCCUCUACCGUGCCAGCAUCGCCUCUGACGUCGCGCCACCAACUCCCUCACCUGCUCCAUCAAAUGUCAAAUACCUGCAAGAAGGAAGAACACGCAAAAGAGACACAGUAACAAAAAUAGACAAUGUAACAGGGCUAUAAGAGCCGAACUUCAUUCUUGUAAAAGAAGAGUCUUUGAAAAAAAAGGGAAAAACCGAUUCAAAAAAAAUACAAAGAUUCAAGAAGAAAUAAAAGUAACAUUUUUAUCUUAUUUCGUUUUUCAUUAAUCUUUUUUUUUAAUUUUUAAUUUUUAAUUUUUUUCUGUUUGUUCUAAGAUAUAUAUAUUAUAUACGCAUAUGUAGUAGAAAAAUAAAAAAUAAAAAAUAUACCUUUUUUAAUUUUUCGACCACUGUGUACGGUGGCCGACGUGACGGUGCCGACGGCGGAGCCUCACCGAACCCAGGGCCGGAGUUCAGAAAGGGGAGAGGAGGCUAGCGAGAUUUUUUGUUGUUUUUUGGAAGAAAGGCUGAAAAUGAGGUUUUAAAAAAGAAAUUUGGCUUUUAUAAUAUUAUUAAAAUGACACCGUUUUGCUAUUAAGGUUCAGGUGCCAAAACGACGCCGUUUUGGCCUUGACCCACGCGGUGACUCGAUCCUGAGGGGAGGAUCCGCCUAUUUUCUUUAAAAGGGCUAUUUGCGCGCGCGGUCCCUCUGCUUUUGCAGCGCGUUGC
rnacentral:lncRNA from 1 species